AGCCGCUGAGUGGGGGGGAGGAGAGGGACAGAGAGCCUGCUAGCUUUAAAGGAGCAAAGCGGGUGUAAGCAGCUCCUGUCCGGUUGGCUCCUUUAAAGCAAGCAGGCUCUCUGUCCCUCUCUUCUCCUCACUCAGCU